UACGUAGGGUCCGAGCGUUGUCCGGAAUUACUGGGCGUAAAGCGUGCGCAGGCGGCUUCUUAGGCAUGACGUGAAAGCCCCGGGCUCAACCCUGAAUCGGCCGUCGAUACUCCCGGGCUUGAGCACUGUAGAGGCAGAUGGAAUUCCGGGUGUAGCGGUGGAAUGCGUAGAGAUCCGGAAGAACACCGGUGGCGAAGGCAGCGCCCUGGCUGUGAAUAAAGCUGACACUGAGGCACGAAAGCUGGGGGAGCAAACAGG
rnacentral:rRNA from 1 species